rnacentral:tRNA from 1 species
GCCUGGGUAGCUUGGUCGGUUGAGCGUCUGGCUUCGGCUCAGGUCACGAUCUCACAGUUUGUGGGUUCGAGUCCCACGUUGGGCU